rnacentral:rRNA from 1 species
GAUGAACGCUAGCUACAGGCUUAACACAUGCAAGUCGAGGGGAAACGCCAUCCAAAGCUUGCUUUUGCUGGGCGUCGACCGGCGCACGGGUGAGUAACGCGUAUCCCACCUGCCCAUCACUUGGGAAUAACCUUGCGAAAGUAAGCCUAAUACCCAAUGAUAUCCCACGAAGGCAUCGGAAUGUGAUUACAGAUUUAUCUGUGCUGGCUGGGGAUGCGUCUGAUUAGCUUGUUGGCGGGGUAACGGCCCACCAAGGCAACGAUCAGUAGGGGUUCUGAGAGGAAGGGCCCCAACAUUGGAACGGAGACACGGGGAAAAAUACUACGGGAGGAAGCAGUGAGGAAUAUUGGUCAAUGGGCGAGAGCCUGAACCAGCAAAGUAGCGGGCAGGAAGACGGCCCUAUGGGUUGUAAACUGCUUUUAUAAGGGAAUAAAGUGGGUCACGUGUGACUUUUUGCAUGAACCUUAUGAAUAAGGACCGGCUAAUUCCGU